UACACUCCUACGGGAGGCAGCAGUGGGGAAUUUUGGACAAUGGGCGAAAGCCUGAUCCAGCAAUGCCGCGUGAGUGAAGAAGGCCUUCGGGUUGUAAAGCUCUUUUGUCAGGGAAGAAACGGUGAAAGCUAAUAUCUUUUGCUAAUGACGGUACCUGAAGAAUAAGCACCGGCUAACUACGUGCCAGCAGCCGCGGUAAUACGUAGGGUGCAAGCGUUAAUCGGAAUUACUGGGCGUAAAGCGUGCGCAGGCGGUUUUGUAAGUCUGAUGUGAAAUCCCCGGGCUCAACCUGGGAAUUGCAUUGGAGACUGCAAGGCUAGAAUCUGGCAGAGGGGGGUAGAAUUCCACGUGUAGCAGUGAAAUGCGUAGAUAUGUGGAGGAACACCGAUGGCGAAGGCAGCCCCCUGGGUCAAGAUUGACGCUCAUGCACGAAAGCGUGGGGAGCAAACAGGAUUAGAAACCCGAGUAGUCC
rnacentral:rRNA from 1 species